rnacentral:rRNA from 1 species
GCGCUUAGAAGUGAGAAUGCCGGUGUGAGUAGCGAAAGACGGGUGAGAAUCCCGUCCACCGAUUGACUAAGGUUUCCAGAGGAAGGCUCGUCCGCUCUGGGUUAGUCGGGUCCUAAGCUGAGGCCGACAGGCGUAGGCGAUGGAUAACAGGUUGAUAUUCCUGUACCACCAUGAUUCGUUUUAAGCGAUGGGGGGACGCAGUAGGAUAGGCGAAGCGUGCUGUUGGAGUGCACGUCCAAGCAGUAAGACUGAGUGUUAGGCAAAUCCGGCACUCAUUAAGGUCAAGCUGUGAUGGGGAGAGGAAACAUGUUUUCCUCGAGUCGUUGAUUUCACACUGCCGAGAAAAGCCUCUAGCUAGAAGAUUGGUGCCCGUACCGCAAACCGACACAGGUAGUCAAGAUGAGAAUUCUAAGGUGAGCGAGCGAACUCUCGUUAAGGAACUCGGCAAAAUGACCCCGUAACUUCGGGAGAAGGGGUGCUCUUUGAGGUUCACGCUUCGAAGAGCCGCAGUGAAUAGGCCCAAGCGACUGUUUAUCAAAAACACAGGUCUCUGCUAAACCGUAAGGUGACGUAUAGGGGCUGACGCCUGCCCGGUGCUGGAAGGUUAAGAGGAGUGGUUAGCAUUAGCGAAGCUACGAAUCGAAGCCCCAGUAAACGGCGGCCGUAACUAUAACGGUCCUAAGGUAGCGAAAUUCCUUGUCGGGUAAGUUCCGACCCGCACGAAAGGCGUAACGAUUUGGGCACUGUCUCAACGAGAGACUCGGUGAAAUCAUAGUACCGGUGAAGAUGCCGGUUACCCGCGACAGGACGGAAAGACCCCGUGGAGCUUUACUGUAGCCUGAUAUUGAAAUUCGGUACAGUUUGUACAGGAUAGGUAGGAGCCUUAGAAACGUGAGCGCUAGCUUACGUGGAGGCAUUGGUGGGAUACUACCCUAAUUGUAUUGGAUUUCUAACCCGCAACUCUUAUCGAGUUGGGAGACAGUGUCAGGCGGGCAGUUUGACUGGGGCGGUCGCCUCCUAAAGUGUAACGGAGGCGCUCAAAGGUUCCCUCAGAAUGGUUGGAAAUCAUUCAUAGAGUGUAAAGGCAUAAGGGAGCUUGACUGCGAGACCUACAAGUCGAGCAGGGUCGAAAGACGGACUUAGUGAUCCGGUGGUUCCGCAUGGAAGGGCCAUCGCUCAACGGAUAAAAGCUACCCCGGGGAUAACAGGCUUAUCUCCCCCAAGAGUUCACAUCGAC